rnacentral:rRNA from 1 species
GAGUUUGAUCAUGGCUCAGAGUGAACGCUGGCGGCGUGCUUAACACAUGCAAGUCGAACGGAUGAAAUAAGCUUGCUUAUUUCGUUAGUGGCGCACGGGUGAGUAAUGUAUAGCUAACCUGCCCUUUAGUGGGGGACAACAGUUGGAAACGGCUGCUAAUACCCCAUACUCCUUCUUAUCAUAAGGUAAGUUGGGAAAGAUUUAUUGCUAAAGGAUGGGGCUUUAUUGUAUCAGCUAGUUGGUGGGGUAAUGGCCUACCAAGGCUAUGACGCAUACCUGGUCUGAGAGGAUGAUCAGGCACACUGGAACUGAGACACGGUCCAGACUCCUACGGGAGGCAGCAGUGGGGAAUAUUGCACAAUGGAGGAAACUCUGAUGCAGCAACGCCGCGUGGAGGAUGACGCAUUUCGGUGUGUAAACUCCUUUUAUAAGGGAAGAUAAUGACGGUACCUUAUGAAUAAGCACCGGCUAACUCCGUGCCAGCAGCCGCGGUAAUACGGAGGGUGCAAGCGUUACUCGGAAUCACUGGGCGUAAAGGAUGCGUAGGCUGGAAAUCAAGUCGAGAGUGAAAUCCAACGGCUUAACCCGUUGAACUGCUCUCGAAACUGGUUACCUAG